GCAGAACUCUCCACCUACACCUGUGGCCUGUGCUCAGAAGGUCAGCUGACCAUUAUUGAAGGCAGCACAUCUGCACAGCAACACCUGCAUAGCCUGCUUUUCAGGGUAGAGCAGUCACAGUCUUACAGUGUUGAGAAAAGGGUGUUUUAAUGUCCUAAGGUAUAGUUACAGAAUAGAGGACUCAGUUCACUUGUGAGAAAUAAAGAAAACUUACCUGGUUUAACUUCCAAUAAAUAAUCCACAAAAUAGAACGCUCCAGGUAUCUCCACUACACAGCAAUAGGGACCACCAUCACUCACAACAGUGUUCUCUAUCGUCAAGGAUACAUUUCCUUCUGAAAUAUUUCCCUUUAGUUGGUAUUGAUUGCUCCUCUGAUAUGUGACCUUAUUUCCAUUGGUCCAGAUAAGCGGCCUUAUACAAUAAGAAUGACGGCAUUCCCCUCGGCCCCAGCACGCCGGUACGCUUCCAUCAUGGUGUGUCGACCAGAGCCUCACUCUGUAGCCUUGGCUCGCCUGGAACUUUCAGCAGAAAGGCUGACUUUCAAACUCCCAGAGCUCUGCUGCCUCUGUCUCCCAUAUCCUCCUAUAUUAAAGACCCAUUUUUACAGCUUGAAUUUGGAGACUCUAAACAUCUUUUCUGUUGGCACAGUCUUCCUCGGUGUGAUUACUUGGUAGAUACACAUGUAAAUAAAACAUCUUAUUCUGUGGCAUGAUAUUCA